GACGAACGCUGGCGGCGUGCUUAACACAUGCAAGUCGAACGGUGAAGCGCCUUCCUUUUUGGUGGGUGUGGAUGAGUGGCGAACGGGUGAGUAACACGUGAGUAACCUGCCCCCUUCUUCUGGAUAACCGCAUGAAAGUGUGGCUAAUACGGGAUAUUCUGGGUCUGUCGCAUGAUGGGUCUGGGAAAGAUAUUGUUUCGGUGGGGGAUGGGCUCGCGGCCUAUCAGCUUGUUGGUGGGGUGAUGGCCUACCAAGGCGGUGACGGGUAGCCGGCCUGAGAGGGUGGACGGUCACACUGGGACUGAGACACGGCCCAGACUCCUACGGGAGGCAGCAGUGGGGAAUAUUGCACAAUGGGCGGAAGCCUGAUGCAGCGACGCCGCGGGAGGGAUGGAGGCCUGCGGGUUGUGAACCUCUUUCGCCAGUGAAGCAGGCCUGCCUCGUUUGUGGGUGGGUUGACGGUAGCUGGAUAAGAAGCGCCGGCUAACUACGUG
rnacentral:rRNA from 1 species